rnacentral:misc_RNA from 1 species
AACCUAGCACACCUGCGGUGUGUACCUGCGGAGGGAUCAUUACUGAGUUUACCGCUCUAUAACCCUUUGUGAACAUACCUUACUGUUGCUUCGGCGGGCAGGACGGCGGCCUCGGCCCCGGCCUCCCGGCCUCCGCCCCCUCUGCGGGGCGGCGGGCGCCCGCCGGAGGAUAACCAAACUCUGUUUUAACGUCGUCUCUUCUGAGUGGCACAAGCAAAUAAAUAAAAACUUUCAACAACG